UUCAAGGCUGACGUGUAGCUGUUGCCAGAACACGUGCAGAUUCUUCUCUGGCUUCAACUUAAAAAGCUCGGAGGUAUACUUCACACCACAUGACAAUGUCCUCCACCAAGGUUCUGACGUUUGUUUUGCUGACGAUGACUGUCCUUCUCAUAACCGAGGUUACCGCCUUUACAUCCUGUGGCAGCCGGUGUCGCUUUGCCUCGGAUGGAAAAGUGUCGGGCUGCUCCAGAGGCUGCAAAUGUGUCCGCAAGACCACAGGCAUUGGUGACAGCGGCAAUGGCACGUGCCGGCGUGGCUAACCGCCAGGUGCCUAUCAGCUGCUACAUUUAUUGCCACUCGCUAACGAUAAA